GACGAACGCUGGCGGCGUGCUUAACACAUGCAAGUCGAACGGAAAGGCCCUGCUUUUGUGGGGUGCUCGAGUGGCGAACGGGUGAGUAACACGUGAGUAACCUGCCCUUGACUUUGGGAUAACUUCAGGAAACUGGGGCUAAUACCGGAUAGGAGCUCCUGCUGCAUGGUGGGGGUUGGAAAGUUUCGGCGGUUGGGGAUGGACUCGCGGCUUAUCAGCUUGUUGGUGGGGUAUUGGCUUACCAAGGCUUUGACGGGUAGCCGGCCUGAGAGGGUGACCGGCGACAUGGGGGUGACGUGAGGCAGCGGGGUCCAACGGGAGGCAGAAGGGGGGAUGAGGGCACAAUGGGGCGGAGCCGGAGAGAGCAGCGGCGGGGGCGGAAUGAGGGCCGUCGGUGGAAAAAAAGAUGUCGCCUGUAACGGACAUGGAGGGAGGGCAAUGAGUAAGAAAGCACCCGCCAACUACGUC
rnacentral:rRNA from 1 species